UACGUAGGGGGCAAGCGUUGUCCGGAAUUAUUGGGCGUAAAGAGCGCGUAGGCGGUCCGAUAAGUCGGCUGUGAAAGUCAGGGGCUCAACCCUUGAAAGCCGGCCGAUACUGUCGGACUAGAGUCCGGAAGAGGCAAGUGGAAUUCCCGGUGUAGCGGUGAAAUGCGCAGAUAUCGGGAGGAACACCAAUGGCGAAGGCAGCUUGCUGGGACGGUACUGACGCUGAGGAGCGAAAGCCAGGGGAGCAAACGGG
rnacentral:rRNA from 1 species